rnacentral:rRNA from 1 species
UACAGAGGUCUCAAGCGUUGUUCGGAUUCAUUGGGCGUAAAGGGUGCGUAGGCGGCGCGGUAAGUCGGGUGUGAAAUCUUGGAGCUUAACUCCGAAACUGCAUUCAAUACUGCCGUGCUUGAGGACUGGAGAGGAGACUGGAAUUUACGGUGUAGCGGUGAAAUGCGCAGAUAUCAGGAGGAACACCCGUGGCGAAAGCGGCUCUCUGGGACGGUACUGACGCUGAGACGCGAAAGCGUGGGGAGCAAACAGG